UUCUAAAUGGCAGAAUAGUGCAAUGGAUUUAAACCCCAUUUAUAAAAAGGCUCAACUUUUUUUUUAGAAA
rnacentral:tRNA from 1 species